rnacentral:rRNA from 1 species
GACAGAGGGUGCAACCGUUGUGCGGAAUUACUGGGCGUAAAGCGAGUGUAGGCGGUCCGAAAAGUCGGGUGUGAAAGCCCUGGGCUCAACCCAGGAAGUGCACUCGAAACUGCCGGGCUAGAGUACUGGAGAGGUUGGUGGAAUUCUCGGUGUAGAGGUGAAAUUCGUAGAUAUCGAGAGGAACACCGGUGGCGAAGGCGGCCAACUGGACAGAUACUGACGCUGAGACUCGAAAGCGUGGGGAGCAAACAGG